UACGUAGGAGGCAAGCGUUGUCCGGAAUUACUGGGCGUAAAGCGUGCGUAGGUGGUUUGUUAAGUCUGUUGUGAAAGCCCCGGGCUCAACCUGGGAAUGGCAAUGGAUACUGGCAGGCUAGAGUGCGGUAGAGGGUAGUGGAAUUCCCGGUGUAGCGGUGAAAUGCGUAGAGAUCGGGAGGAACACCAGUGGCGAAGGCGGCUACCUGGGCCGAUACUGACGCUGAGGAGCGAAAGCAUGGGUAGCGAACAGG
rnacentral:rRNA from 1 species